rnacentral:rRNA from 1 species
GAUGAACGCUGGCGGCGUGCCUAAUACAUGCAAGUCGAGCGAAUGGAUUAAGAGCUUGCUCUUAUGAAGUUAGCGGCGGACGGGUGAGUAACACGUGGGUAACCUGCCCAUAAGACUGGGAUAACUCCGGGAAACCGGGGCUAAUACCGGAUAACAUUUUGAACCGCAUGGUUAGAAAUUGAAAGGCGGCUUCGGCUGUCACUUAUGGAUGGACCCGCGUCGCAUUAGCUAGUUGGUGAGGUAACGGCUCACCAAGGCAACGAUGCGUAGCCGACCUGGGAGGGUGAUCGGCCACACUGGGACUGAGACACGGCCCAGACUCCUACGGGAGGCGGCAGUAGGGAAUCUUCCGCAAUGGACGAAAGUCUGACGGAGCAACGCCGCGUGAGUGAUGAAGGCUUUCGGGUCGUAAAACUCUGUUGUUAGGGAAGAACAAGUGCUAGUUGAAUAAGCUGACACCUUGACGGUACCUAACCAGAAAGCCACGGCUAACUACGUGCCAGCAGCCGCCGUAA